rnacentral:rRNA from 1 species
UUCGGGAACGUCUGACACAGGUGCUGCAUGGCUGUCGUCAGCUCGUGUCGUGAGAUGUUGGGUUAAGUCCCGUAACGAGCGCAACCCUUGUCCUUAGUUACCAGCACGUUAUGGUGGGCACUCUAAGGAGACUGCCGGUGACAAACCGGAGGAAGGUGGGGGAUGACGUCAAGUCAUCAUGGCCCUUACGGCCUGGGCUACACACGUGCUACAAUGGUCGGUACAAAGGGUUGCCAAGCCGCGAGGUGGAGCUAAUCCCAUAAAACCGAUCGUAGUCCGGAUCGCAGUCUGCAACUCGACUGCGUGAAGUCGGAAUCGCUGGUAAUCGUGAAUCAGAAUGUCACGGUGAAUACGUUCCCGGGCCUU